GGGUGAGUAACGCGUGAGAAUCUGCCUUGGGGUCGGGGACAACCACUGGAAACGGUGGCUAAUACCGGAUACGCCUUCGGGUAAAAGAUUUAUUGCCCUAAGAGGAGCUCGCGUCUGAUUAGCUAGUUGGUGAGGUAAGAGCUCACCAAGGCAGCGAUCAGUAGCUGGUCUGAGAGGACGAUCAGCCACACUGGGACUGAGACACGGCCCAGACUCCUACGGGAGGCAGCAGUGGGGAAUUUUCCGCAAUGGGCGAAAGCCUGACGGAGCAAGACCGCGUGAGGGAGGAAGGCUCUUGGGUUGUAAACCUCUUUUCUCAGGGAAGAAGCUCUGACGGUACCUGAGGAAUCAGCCUCGGCUAACUCCGUGCCAGCAGCCGCGGUAAUACGGAGGAGGCAAGCGUUAUCCGGAAUUAUUGGGCGUAAAGCGUCCGCAGGUGGCGAUUCAAGUCUGCUGUCAAAGCACGGGGCUUAACUCCGUAAAGGCAGUGGAAACUGAAUAGCUAGAGUGCCGUAGGGGUAGAGGGAAUUCCCGGUGUAGCGGUGAAAUGCGUAGAGAUCGGGAAGAACAUCGGUGGCGAAAGCGCUCUACUGGACGGCAACUGACACUCAGGGACGAAAGCUAGGGGAGCGAAUGGGAUUAGAUACCCCAGUAGUCCUAGCUGUAAACGAUGGAUACUAGGUGUAGCUUGUAUCGACCCGAGCUGUGCCGAAGCUAACGCG
rnacentral:rRNA from 1 species